UUGCGAUUCCGUUGCCUCCCGCAACCCGGGUUGCCUGUGUGGCCCCCAGCUCCGUCCCCGCCAACCCCACUUCGACAGGUGUCUGCCCUCUCGCCACCGCCACUACUCCUGUUGAGAGAGACUGCUCUGAGGGUAUCACAUGAAUUGCUCCAUUUACUACAAAUCACCAAGAAGAGAGACAGAUCGCCAUGUCCUUCAGGGAGAGCGGAGGAGAGGAGCGGAGCCCAGUCGUGGUGACCCCCCACUUCAGGAGCGAUGACGUCCCCGCGCUCACCUCACGUACAGCAACUGAGCCACCCCCUGAGUGUUCAGCUGUGCUUCGGCGGCAGACCCCUAUCUUCUGGGGGUUUUAAGGGACCUCAUGUCCAAAGGUCGAUGAACUCGGUAUCAACGCGCCUUUACUGCUAGGUCCCGCGUGACAGUCGAGUUCCGAUUCUGUUUUCUAUCAAAUGGAACAGACCUGAAUGCACAUGUCCCCUGCGCCAAGUGUGGUGCUUAAGGACCCAGAGAAGAAUGUUCCCUGUCCUCAACGAGUUCACGAAAUUGGAACUCUCCAGGGAGAGCUCCAGUGCAGGUGUGCUCACAGAGCAUGACUUUUGGGAGGUGUCACUGGGUCUGCCAUCCCUGGAUGCUGCCGCAGUGCCUAUGGUAAGGGUCUGCCCCAGGCUGCCCCAGGCUUUGGCAAAGGUCAGCUCUUCCAAGAAGUCCUCCUUGCCGGGUUCCUCUUGCAUGCUGACUGCUUCUUUACUCUGCCAUCUCAGGGCCUUGCAGUUCAGCCUUGUGUUCCCUUACCCUGGUGCCACAGGCACGCUGAACCAACGUAACCUGCAGGAGACAGCAACAUGCAGCCUGCCCCAGGCCAUUCAGGAGAGCUGGAGCGGGACCCGAACCCAGAGAGCUCGACACCGGCUUCUCGUCCAGACAGUUAUCACACAGUGGCAAUCACUGGCUUUGUGUGUGUGUGUGUGUGUGUGUGUGUGUGUGUGUGUGUGAGAGAGAGAGAGAGAGAGAGAGAGAGAGAGCUUAUCAUAAGCAUCUUCCAGGUUGCUACCUAGUUUUUUUAAAUAAUGAUUCUCUUUAGAGGCAGUGUACUAUUUCAUACAGUGUGUGUUCCAUUAUUUAUGUGAUGAUCUCUCUCAUUUUACGCCAUCACUUUAUAUGGCAUGUUUCAUGUAUCACAUAAAGUACCUUGG